rnacentral:rRNA from 1 species
GACGAACGCUGGCGGCGUGCCUAAUACAUGCAAGUAGAACGCUGAAGCUUGGUGCUUGCACCGAGCGGAUGAGUUGCGCACGGGUGAGUAACGCGUAGGUAACCUGCCUGGUAGCGGGGGAUAACUAUUGGAAACGAUAGCUAAUACCGCAUAAGAGUAGAUGUUGCAUGACAUUUGCUUAAAAGGUGCAAUUGCAUCACUACCAGAUGGACCUGCGUUGUAUUAGCUAGUUGGUGAGGUAACGGCUCACCAAGGCAACGAUACAUAGCCGACCUGAGAGGGUGAUCGGCCACCCUGGGACUGAGACACGGCCCAGACUCCUACGGGAGGCAGCAGUAGGGAAUCUUCGGCAAUGGACGGAAGUCUGACCGAGCAACGCCGCGUGAGUGAAGAAGGUUUUCGGAUCGUAAAGCUCUGUUGUAAGAGAAGAACGAGUGUGAGAGUGGAAAGUUCACACUGUGACGGUAUCUUACCAGAAAGGGACGGCUAACUACGUG